rnacentral:rRNA from 1 species
CUGCAGCCCGAGUGGUGACCGAUAUUAUUGAGCCUAAAGCGUCCGUAGCCGGUCUGGUAAAUUCUUGGGUAAAUCGGGCAGCUUAACUGUCCGACUUCCGAGGAGACUGCCAGACUUGGGACCGGGAGAGGUCAGAGGUACUCCAGGGGUAGGGGCUAAAUCCUGUAAUCCUUGGGGGACCACCAGUGGCGAAGGCGUCUGACUAGAACGGAUCCGACGGUAAGGGACGAAACCCUGGGGCGCAAAACGGAUUAGAUACCCGAGUAGUCC